UUUAUGGAGAGUUUGAUCCUGGCUCAGGAUAAACGCUGGCGGCAUGCCUAAUACAUGCAAGUCGCGCGCCCUGCACAUUGUGCUACUCACAUCUGAUGUAUCAGAUUUAUGAGGAGCCUAGUGUGCAGGGAGCGGCGG
rnacentral:rRNA from 1 species